rnacentral:lncRNA from 1 species
UACCUUACAGCUAGCUUGAAUCGAAACUGAAGAAACAUUGGAAGAAUAAAAAUCAUAACAUGUAUGGAUUAUGGAAAGUGCACUUCUGGGAAAAGUACUGAGUCAUAGGGUUUCCUUACAGUGGGAGGCGCAGAUACUCACCAUUUGCAUACCAAACUUCAAACGGGGAUAAAGUCAUCAGUAAUAGUGGUUUUGGGCAGGCAGUCAGACAGUUUGAACGAAUCUAUAAAGCUUGUUUAAACAGAAGGAAAACACAUGAACAUACUAAAUAUAAGAUAUCC